GCCAUCACUGGCAUAGUGGUUUGAGCAUUGGGCUACAACUCUAGAGACCAGGGUUCGAUUCCCAGUUUGGCC